UACGAAGGGGGCUAGCGUUGCUCGGAAUCACUGGGCGUAAAGGGUGCGUAGGCGGGUCUUUAAGUCAGGGGUGAAAUCCUGGAGCUCAACUCCAGAACUGCCUUUGAUACUGUAGAUCUUGAGUCCGGGAGAGGUGAGUGGAACUGCGAGUGUAGAGGUGAAAUUCGUAGAUAUUCGCAAGAACACCAGUGGCGAAGGCGGCUCACUGGCCCGGUACUGACGCUGAGGUGCGAAAGCGUGGGGAGCAAACAGG
rnacentral:rRNA from 1 species